rnacentral:rRNA from 1 species
CCUACGGGUGGCAGCAGUGAGGAAUAUUGGUCAAUGGUCGAGAGACUGAACCAGCCAAGUCGCGUGAGGGAGGACGGCCCUAAGUAUUGUAAACCUCUUUUAUCAGGGAACAAAACGAGGCACGUGUGCCUGGUUGCGUGUACCUGAAGAAAAAGCAUCGGCUAACUCCGUGCCAGCAGCCGCGGUAAUACGGAGGAUCCGAGCGUUAUCCGGAUUUAUUGGGUUUAAAGGGUGCGCAGGGGGUUGUUUAAGUCAGCGGUAAAAGUCGGGGGCUCAACCCCGUACUGCCGUUGAAACUGGCAGUCUCGAGUGGGAGAGAAGUAUGCGGAAUGCGUGGUGUAGCGGUGAAAUGCAUAGAUAUCGCGAAGAACUCCGAUUGCGAAGGCAGCAUGCCGGCUCGACACUGACGCUGAGGCACGAAAGUGUGGGUAUCGAACAGGAUUAGAUACCCUAGUAGUC